ensembl:snoRNA SNORD116 Small nucleolar RNA SNORD116
GGAUCGAUGAUGAUUUCCAAUAAAACAUUCCUUGGAAAGCUGAAGAAAAUGAGUGAAAACUCAAUACCGCCAAUAUCAUCGUGAUUGCGGUCC